rnacentral:rRNA from 1 species
CAUAGGUUGAGGAGGCGGUGACCGUGGUGGUGGAGGAGGAGGAUGAGGUAGCCAACACUGUUUUUAUUUAUAUAUAUAUAUAUAUAUAUAUAUUUUAAUUGGAGAAGCCCCCCAAAUUUUGGGACAUAUAAAAGACAACUCUGUUCCGCGUAGCUGUUGACAUUAUAGUUGCGAAGGCACUUUGUUGACUCUAGAGUACCUCAGGCCAAUUGCACAUCCCCGUGGCGGCGACUUUGCAUGCGGAUGUCAUCCAUAUCAACUUUCGAUGCCAGUUUCUGCUCUUACCAUGGUGACCACGGAUAACAGGGAAUCAGGGUUCCAUUCUGUACAGGGACCCUGAGAAACGACUACCACAUGCAAGGAAGGCAG